GACGGGUUAGCUCAGUCGAUUGGAGUGUGGUGCUGAUAACACCAAGGUCAUGGGUUCAAUUCCUGUUCGGUCC
rnacentral:tRNA from 1 species